rfam:Myotis brandtii contig289811, whole genome shotgun sequence.
GGCGAUUCUCAGGUGAGGCACCCCAGAAUUGGGUUCCCUCCUCUCUGGUUCCAGGUGUGUCACCCAAGAACCACA